rnacentral:ribozyme from 1 species
UUUUUUUUUUUUUUUUUUCAUAAUUUGUUUUGCAAAGACGCGAAGGGAAGGCAUGAGAUUU